GACGAACGCUGGCGGCGUGCCUAAUACAUGCAAGUAGAACGCAGUUGCGAACGGGUGAGUAACGCGUAGGUAACUGCCUGGUAGCGGGGGAUAACUAUUGGAAACGAUAGCUAAUACCGCAUACUACCAGAUGGACCUGCGUUGUAUUAGCUAGUUGGUGGGGUAACGGCUCACCAAGGCAACGAUACAUAGCCGACCUGAGAGGGGGUUCGGCCACACUGGGACUGAGACACGGCCCAGACUCCUACGGGAGGCAGCAGUGGGGAAUCUUCGGCAAUGGCCGCAAGCCUGACCGAGCAAGGCCGCGUGGAUGAAGAAGUUUUUCGGUUCUUAAAGCUCUUUUGUAGGGGAGGCGGUAUCUUACCAGAAAGGGACGGCUAACUACGUGCCAGCAGCCGCGGUAAUUC
rnacentral:rRNA from 1 species